rnacentral:rRNA from 1 species
AUGAACAAAAGGAAUGGGAGGAGUGGAGUCGCAGCAAUUAAGGCAGACAUGAGUAAGGCAUACGAUAGGGUUGAAUGGAGCUUUUUGGAGGCUAUGUUAAGCAAGUUGGGGUUUAGUAGGAGGUGGGUUGCGCUUGUCAUGAGAUGUGUUCGGACUAUUCAGUACCAGAUUAAGGUGAAUGGGGAUCUGACCCAACAGUUUAGCCCAUCGCGUGGUCUCCGACAGGGGGACCCCAUCUCCCCCUAUCUUUUUGUCAUCUGUGCGGAAGGAUUGUCGGCGCUGUUAUUGGAUGCAGAAGAGAAGGGGGUGAUGCACGGAGUGAAGAUUUGCCCAAGGGCAUCAUGUGUAUCACAUCUACUAUUUGCGGACGACUCCAUGCUCCUGAUCAGAGCAGACCAACAGGAAGCAGCAGCACUACACGAAGCAUUGCAGUUAUAUGAAGCGUGCUCGGGGCAGUGCAUAAACACGGAAAAAUCUGCAAUUAUGUUCAGCCCUAACACAUGCGAUAAUAAUAGAACUGCAGUAAAGGUCGAGUUGGGUAUACACAGUGAGGAUUGGAAUGAGAAAUACUUAGGGUUGCCAGUCCACGUGGGGCGAUCCAGGAAGAGAGCUUUUAGCUACAUCAAGAGGAAUAUAUGGGGACGUGUUUAUGGAUGGCAGGAGAGAUUGCUAGCAAAGGAAAGUAAGGAGGCUUUGGUGAAGGCGGUGGGGCAGGCCAUACCCACCUACGCUAUGUCAUGUUUUGAUCUGACUAAGACCUUCUGUUCGGAGUUGAACACACUACUGAGUAACUUUUGGUGGAGUCAGCAAGAUAAACAAAAUGCCAUGCAU